rnacentral:rRNA from 1 species
UGGGGAAUCUUGCGCAAUGGACGAAAGUCUGACGCAGCAACGCCGCGUGCGGGAUGAAGGCUCUCGGGUUGUAAACCGCUUUCAGUAGGGAAGAAUACAGACGGUACCUACAGAAGAAGCACCGGCCAACUACGUGCCAGCAGCCGCGGUAAUACGUAGGGUGUAAGCGUUGUCCGGAUUUAUUGGGCGUAAAGAGCUCGUAGGCGGCUUGGUAAGUCGGAAGUCAAAACAGGAGGCUCAACCUCCUGUCGCUUUUGAUACUGCCAUGGCUUGAGUUUGGUAGGGGAUGAGGGAAUUCCUGGUGUAGCGGUGAAAUGCGCAGAUAUCAGGAGGAACACCGGUGGCGAAGGCGCUCAUCUGGGCCAAUACUGACGCUGAGGAGCGAAAGCGUGGGGAGCGAACAG